rnacentral:rRNA from 1 species
GAUGAACGCUGGCGGCGUGCCUAAUACAUGCAAGUCGAACGGCAGCGGGGGAGAAGCUUGCUUUUCCUGCCGGCGAGUGGCGAACGGGUGAGUAAUACAUCGGAACGUGCCCUGUAGUGGGGGAUAACUAGUCGAAAGAUUAGCUAAUACCGCAUACGACCUGAGGGUGAAAGUGGGGGACCGCAAGGCCUCAUGCUAUAGGAGCGGCCGAUGUCUGAUUAGCUAGUUGGUGGGGUAAAGGCCUACCAAGGCGACGAUCAGUAGCUGGUCUGAGAGGACGAUCAGCCACACUGGGACUGAGACACGGCCCAGACUCCUACGGGAGGCAGCAGUGGGGAAUUUUGGACAAUGGGCGAAAGCCUGAUCCAGCAAUGCCGCGUGUGUGAAGAAGGCCUUCGGGUUGUAAAGCACUUUUGUCCGGAAAGAAAUGGCUCUGGUUAAUACCUGGGGUCGAUGACGGUACCGGAAGAAUAAGGACCGGCUAACUACGUGCCAGCAGCCGCCGUAA